rfam:Gossypium arboreum cultivar AKA8401 contig_230783_1, whole genome shotgun sequence.
GAGAUUGUUGUUCAAUUUUUCAAAGAACCGCCCUGUCAAGGCGGAAGUUGCGGGUUCAAGUUCCGUUAGUCCCG